rnacentral:lncRNA from 1 species
CUCGGCAGGUUGAGGCAGGAGGUUGCAGUGAGCCGAGAUCGUGCCACUGCACUCCAGCCUGGGUGAUAGAGUGAGACUCUAUCUCAAAAAAAAAAAAAAAAAGGAAAUUUGGACAGUUACAGAGAAAUGACGGAUGCAGGGAGAAGACAGCCAUCAGCAAGUCAAAGAGAGAACCCUCAAAAGGAAUCAUGUCUGCCGACACAUUGAUCUGGGACUUGCCAGGCUCCAGAACGAGGAGAUGACACAGAAACACAUGGAGGGAAGACCAUGAGGAUACGGGGAGAAGGCAGCCAUCUGCAAGCCAAGCAGAGAGGCCUCAGGAGAAACCACCCCUGCUGACGCCUUGUUCUUGGACUUCCAGCCUCUGGAACUGUGA